rnacentral:tRNA from 1 species
UCCCUGCUGGCUCAGAUGGUAAAGAAUCUGCCUGCAAUGCAGAAUACCAGGUUUCGAUCCCUUGGUUGGGAA